UAGAGAUAGAGGAGUGCUCGAAAGAGAGCCGUAACACAGGUGCUGCAUGGCUGUCGUCAGCUCGUGUCGUGAGAUGUUGGGUUAAGUCCCGCAACGAGCGCAACCCUUGCCAUUAGUUGCUACGAAAGGGCACUCUAAUGGGACUGCCGGUGACAAACCGGAGGAAGGUGGGGAUGACGUCAAGUCCUCAUGGCCCUUAUAGGUGGGGCUACACACGUCAUACAAUGGCUGGUACAGAGGGUUGCCAACCCGCGAGGGGGAGCUAAUCCCAUAAAGCCAGUCGUAGUCCGGAUCGCAGUCUGCAACUCGACUGCGUGAAGUCGGAAUCGCUAGUAAUCGCGGAUCAGAAUGUCGCGGUGAAUACGUUCCCGGGUCUUGUACACACCGCCCGUCACACCAUGGGAGCGGGUUCUGCCAGAAGUAGGUAGCCUAACCGUAAGGAGGGCGCUUACCACGGCAGGGUUCGUGACUGGGGUGAAGUCGUAACAAGGUAGCCGUAG
rnacentral:rRNA from 1 species